rnacentral:lncRNA from 1 species
GCUGUCACAGGGGCUUGCCGAGAGCCAGGAGGGUCAUCCUCACACUGAAUCUAGCAAUGCCCACAGAUCUUCUCUCCCCUCUCUUCCCGACUCCUCCUGCCCCCUUCCCUAACCACCACCCACCUUUUAGGAAGCCUCAGCACGAACAGAGAAAGGAACAGGAGCCUAAAAGACCUCAUAUUAAGAAGCCUCUGAAUGCUUUCAUGUUAUACAUGAAAGAAAUGAGGGCGAAUGUCGUAGCCGAGUGUACGCUAAAGGAGAGCGCAGCUAUCAACCAGAUCCUGGGCAGAAGGUGGCACGCCCUCUCCCGGGAAGAGCAGGCCAAAUAUUAUGAAUUAGCGCGGAAAGAAAGACAGCUACAUAUGCAGCUCUAUCCAGGCUGGUCAGCGAGAGACAAUUAUGGCAAGAAGAAGAAGAGGAAGAGAGAGAAGCUACAGGAAUCUACUUCAGGUACAGGUCCCAGAAUGACAGCUGCCUACAUCUGAAACAUGGUGGCAAAAGAAACUCAUUCCCAACGUGCAAAGCCAAGGCAGCGACCCCAGGCCCUCUCCUGGAGAUGGAAGCUUGUUGAAAACCCAGACUGUCUCCACAGCUUGCCCGGCUGACCCCAAGGAGCACUGACAGCAACUUUACCCUGAGGUCACUGCUAGCGCUGACCCACAGACACAGUCACUGCCAGCCCUCCCUUCUGUCUACUGCAAGCGCUGACUUCCAAAAGAAAGCCGAAUACGGUCGUUUCUG